AAAUACAGACAAAAGAUACCUACUGAUUACUUGCUAAACAUUGAUGCGCAUCAAGCUGUAACUGCGCUAUACUCUCCCUAGAAGACCGACCUUUGCGAAAACCAAACUGAUUAUUAGGCAAAAGACAAUUUUGUUCUAUAAAGAACUCGAGACGUUGUUUUAGAAGCUGCUCAAAUAUCUUCCCAACACAAGACGUGAGAGCUAUAGGUCUAUAAGAGUCAGCAUUUAAAACUGCUUCUGUACACCUCUGAUUCCACCAAGGCAACCAAGGAUAUUUAAAAGAUUUUUGUGAACAAGAACUAGUAACAUUAUUACUAUUAGAACUUUUGGAAAACAGACAGCUAGGGAUUGACUGCUUGGCAGCAGAAAGUAAAGUAUUACAAAAGGAAUUAAAAGCAUCUAUUGAAGAUAAAGUGUCAAAUUUAACAUCAUCCAAAUAAGAAACAACUAAGUUACUAUACAUAUUCCAAUUCACCUGCUUAUAAUUAGGGGAGAUGAUAACUACUGCCCAGAGGACUGUCAAUAACUGACCAGUCACAUAAAAGAGCCAAUGAUGGAGUUACCAAAGUCAAGUCAAGAGCAUUAGGAUGCCAAGAUGGAGAUCCUAUUGUGGUAGCUUGACCAUUAUUCAGAAUAACAAGACCAUUCUCAUCUAUAACCUCUAAAACAUCUUUACCUCGAGGCAAUGUAUCAACACAUCCCCACAACAUGUGAUGAGCAUUGAAAUCACCUGCAAAUAUCAUUGGCUCUGGAAUGGACUUAAUUAAACUGUUUAAAUUGUUUUUAUUAAAUGGAGGAUUUGAAUUGGAAGGACUGUAAAAACUCAGAAUACUCAGUUCUUUGUUAUUAAUUUUAAUUUUAAUGCAAACAUUUUGUAGAGCACUAUCAUAAUAUGU